rnacentral:misc_RNA from 1 species
UCACUACUUGCGUAAGCACACCACCUGGGGAGUACGUUCGCAAGAAUGAAACUCAAAGGAAUUGACGGGGGCCCGCACAAGCGGCGGAGCAUGUUGCUUAAUUCGAAGCGACGCGAAGAACCUUACCUGGGUUUGACAUGCCGGGAAAUCCUGCAGAGAUGUGGGGUCCUUUUUGGGUCCGGUACAGGUGGUGCAUGGCUGUCGUCAGCUCGUGUCGUGAGAUGUUGGGUUAAGUCCCGCAACGAGCGCAACCCUUGUCCUGUGUUGCCAGCGCGUAAUGGCGGGGACUCGCAGGAGACUGCCGGGGUCAACUCGGAGGAAGGUGGGGAUGACGUUACGGUCUUACU